UAUUUAUUGUUUAUUUUGCAGUGAAAAGAGCACCACGGGUCUUGGUCCAACUUAGUUUACUAGAUCUGGAAAAAGUUCAGUCCAGUUCAAUUAAACUUAUCGAUUUUGAAGUGACGUGAGAACUGGAAACUAAAACUUUGAAAAAUUAGAUUGUUAAUAGUUUGAAAAGCUAAAUUAUAAACAAAGGAAGAAAACGCUCAACGGGUAAUACACUGUUAGACUGGCCUCCAUCAUCAUUAAAUAGAAUUUCCGACGGCAUCAUUCUAUAAGCGGCUAUGUGUAAGAGAGGGACGGCUAAUGGAACCACAUCAUUGAAGCAGAUGUACUUGUUAUAAAUAGGGUUUAAAAUGGACCAAGCUUUCAAAUGCCACUUAAUAAUCGAUAUUGACUGCCUUGGAUUAAUGUUAAAUUAGUGCUGCACAAAAGUGGGCGCACAUUUUAAAUAACUUAGAUAAUCGUUUUUUGAUAAAAAUGUUUUAUUCUUGUUGCUUUCGUGUUACAGUUUACAGGUUUGUUUGUGUAUUUGUGUUUACAUUACAGAGCGUUUAUAAAUGCUCACGGGUUACAUUUAAAUAUGUUUUGUAUCAACUAGAAAAAGUUACCUAUAUUAGGAUUGAUUGUGUGUUUUAAAAAUAUCUUUCGCAUUAUCUGUGUGAUAAUAUUGGGUUUCAUUUAUUUAUAUUGAUAUUGGGAUAAUAUUUCCCUAGCGGUAUUGUGGUUACAUAGCAAAUUUGUGCUUUCUACACAAUAAACAAUAA